rnacentral:tRNA from 1 species
CAGGAUGUAGCUCAGUUGGCAGAGCAAUUGCCUUUUAAGCAAUGGGUCGGGAGUUCGAGACUCCCCAUCCUGACCA